rnacentral:tRNA from 1 species
GCGUCGGAAGCAGUGACGGUGCUGCGCCUGGUGACCAGCCAGGAGAGGGCGGUUCAAAUCCGACCCCGACGCUCCA